AAUUCACUGAUCUCUCUUCCUCUUCCUCUGGUUGCUUGCUGCCCCCGCAUGCGCCCUUUCACUGCUCAUAUCAUUGCGCUCUCCAUUAUUAAUUUUCCCAUAACUUCGACAACCCAAGCGUUUCGUAACCGAAAGAGGGAGACCACUAUGAAUAGUAGAGGGCCCAGCAAGGAGACCAACAUCUGAUCUCCUCCCCGCAAGUUAUCAGUGUCUGCGGCUCGCGAUGCUCUCGCUUCCCCAGCUGUGGUUCACCACGCUACUUUUGAUGAUCUUCGUCAUAGAUGUUUGGGUGGUACUGCUCUGUAUUAACACAUUGCAUGCAAGGCAAGGGAAUCUUAUGGUUUCCAACCAGUCUGAAUGUUUCUUUGAAGAGACUAGAGAGGUUGAAGCUUCUCUCCGAUGAGGAGAAGGACCUACACUCCGUCACCACCAAGCGGUUUGGGAGGAGGAAUCAAAGCCCAAGCCCUAAAUGAGGUAAAUAUGGAGGUCGUAGCAGGGGCUUCCUGACAAGCGUUUUGUUUUGCAAUCUAAGCUAUGCUUGCAGGUUUUUGUCAUAUCUUUAACUCCCUUCACCCAUUUUCUUUAGGACGCCAUUAUGUUUUGGAUACCUUUAAACAUAGUUUAGCAUAAGGUUCUCUUAUAUGUUGAAAGUUUUUCAGAAAGUUAAUGUAUAUCUGUCCUCGAUAUGCUUGGUUUGAUGAGUGUUUGUUUUAUGAUAAAAGAAAUCUGAGGGAAAGAUAUGAGAUGGGAUUUUUUUGGUCAUCUAAAUUAUUAUUGAAGCUUCAAGGGCUGAUCUAAGCAAAGCUUAAAAAAAUGAAGCAAAGCCGGCGAAAUAGCAAUAUGGAAAUUGUAGUUUUGGCUUCUAUUGAAAUUGUAGUUCAUAUUAUAGUUGACUAUAACUUCAGUGUUUAAUAUACUUUUUCAUUUUCUGGCAU